CGUACGGGAACCCGGUGAAGCCUGGGGUGCCCCGCGAGGGGAGCCCUUAGCACAGGUGCUGCAUGGCCGUCGUCAGCUCGUGCCGUGAGGUUGUUGGGUUUAAGUCCGCUAACGAGCGCAACCCUCGCUGUGUGUUAUAUGUGUCACACGGGACUGCCGGUCUUAAGCCGGAGGAAGGUGGGAUGAUGUCAAGCCAGCAUGGCCUUUAUAUCCUGGGCUACACACACGCUACAAUGGCCAACACAAUAGGUUGCUAAGCCGCGAGGUGGCGCCAAUCCAUAAAGUUGGUCUCAGUUCAGAUUGUAGGCUGCAACCCGCCUGCAUGAAGAUGGAGUUGCUAGUAACCGCAGGUCAGCUAUACUGCGGUGAAUACGUUCCCGGGGCUU
rnacentral:rRNA from 1 species